UACGUAGGGUGCGAGCGUUGUCCGGAAUUAUUGGGCGUAAAGAGCUCGUAGGCGGUGUGUCACGUCGGCCGUGAAAACCUGCAGCUUAACUGUGGGCGUGCGGUCGAUACGGGCAUCACUGGAGUUCGGCAGGGGAGACUGGAAUUCCUGGUGUAGCGGUGAAAUGCGCAGAUAUCAGGAGGAACACCGGUGGCGAAGGCGGGUCUCUGGGCCGAUCACUGACGCUGAGGCGCGAAAGCUAGGGGAGCAAACGGG
rnacentral:rRNA from 1 species